UGGGGAGUGGUGUAAUGGUAGCCCGCCGGCCUUUGGAGCCGUGAGGAGUUGGUUCGAGUCCAACCUCCCCAG
rnacentral:tRNA from 1 species